UAGAACGUUUACAAAAAAUCGGCCGCAGU
rnacentral:piRNA from 1 species